rnacentral:rRNA from 1 species
AUCGGGGGGGGCCAAGUCGCCGCGCUAACCGCAAGGAGGCAGCCAACCACGGUAGGGUCAGCGACUGGGGUGAAGUCGUAACAAGGUAGCCGUAGGUGAACCUGCAGAAGGAUCA